rnacentral:misc_RNA from 1 species
AGAUUAUGUGACAAACCCAACAUUCUCUUCCAGAGCUCCGAGGAGUUCUAGCAGGGGAAAUGGAAGAUUCACAUCCUUGCCUGGCUCUCCAUGUUCGAGUCCAAUAACCGGACACCAGAGCUAUUAUCUUUCACCACCUCACUCAUCUCACAUGGGGAUGAGUCAAAGCGGAUACAAUUUGAAUGAAUACACGUAUAACACGAGACCGAACACAUUGUUCACCCUUGAUCCUUCACGAGAUUCAUCGCUAUUGAAAGUGCAGACUCAUCUUGGAUCACCAAGAAGAACUCUUUGACUAAACUUUUCA